rnacentral:rRNA from 1 species
AUGCCUCUCAACCGCCGGAGACGGCGCUCCCCGCGACGGAUGGCCCCGGAGACAAGGAGGGGAGGAGGAGGAGGAGAAAUGUCGCAUCUGCUGCUUCCCGGCCGAGGCGGACCGACCCCUGCGCCUGCCGCGGCAGCAUCAGGUUCGUCCAUGACGACUGCCAGCUCCGGUGGCUCGCCACCCGCCAGCGACCCUGCUGUGAGGCCAAGUUCUUCUACCACUCCACCUCUCAUCGAGAACGACGACGACAUGUCAUCAUUCGUCACCAAGAACCACCUAUUUGGAGCUCAAAAGGCAUUGCACCAAGAGCAACAAGCAAUGAGGGACUACUUCGACAACAAAUGCGACGCUCAAAAGCAAGAGAAUGAUGCAAGAAUGGAUGAGAUCCGCGCCUUCAUGAGGAACCGGUGUCCUUCCACUUCUUCAUCCUCAAGACGGAGCCGCUCGAGUCGACACUCCAACGACACCUUCUCCGACUCAAGUACACCGUCAUCGAACACUCUUCGUCGAGCUGCGCGUCAAGACCGGCAUGCAUCUCGGAACCCGCUACAUGACAAGCAUUCACAAGAACAAGUCGAUGAGCAAAUCCCUCGUCCUCAAUCAAACCAAGUCGUUUUUGCUCAAGCUCAAGAAAGGCAACGACUAAGGCGCCAAGAAGAAGAACGAGCACGUUUACACCAAGAGAAACAAGACGCCGAGACUCAACGUCUUCAACAACAACAACGUGAAGCGCAAGCUCUUGAGGCGCAACGUGCCCUUCGAGAUUCGAGCCGAGCCAUUGCCAACCGCAAUCAUGAGCGGCACAAUCAAGAGGAAGCCCUUCGAGAAGAAAUCCAAGAGAGGAACUACCAACCGCGUGUGCAACGUCAAUAUCCACAAGGUCCUCCUCAAGCUCGUCAAGCUCCACCUCAACCUCAAGUUCAACAAGAGCAAGUUGAUCAUGGACUUCCCCCGCGCCAAGAGCAACAUGAGGAUGACUAUCCUCCACGUCAAGGACGUCACCAUCACCAUCGCCAACAACACAAUGAAGAGCAACGCUAUGGAAAGCUCAAGUUCACAAUGCCCAAGUUCAAUGGAAGCAAUGAUCCGGAAGAGUACCUCUCAUGGGCAUUGAAGGUCGACAAAAUUUUCCGCUUGCACAACUAUGAGGAAGAGAAAAAGAUCGCUAUGGCAUCAUUUGAGUUCCAAGAUUAUGUGCUCAUAUGGUGGGAACAAGUACUUGAACACCGUCAAGCAAGAGGUGAACCACCAAUCACCACUUGGGCUCAAAUGAAGGAUGUCAUGCGGGCACGCUUUGUACCAACCUACUACAACCAUGAUCUCUUCAAGAAGCUACAACUACUCAAGCAAGGAAGUAAGAGUGUUGAAGAAUACUACAAGGAAAUGGAGAUAGCCAUGAUUCGAGCCAAUGUCACAGAAGAUGAUGAGCAAACAAUGGCAUGUUUCUUGAAUGGACUCAAUCAUCCCAUCAAGAAGAUUGCCGACUUCCAACCCUAUUCCAACCUCAUUGAGCUCGUACAUCAAGCAACCAAGGCGGAACGUCAAGUGCAAUAUGACUUCAAGUACGCCAAGUACUCAUCCAAGACCUAUGGUUUCUCCAACGCCUAA